CGGAGGGUGCAAGCGUUAUCCGGAUUCACUGGGUUUAAAGGGUGUGUAGGCGGGUAUUUGAGUCAGUGGUGAAAUCCUACAGCUUAACUGUAGAACUGCCAUUGAUACUAUUUAUCUUGAAUAUUGUUGAGGUAGGCGGAAUACAUCAUGUAGCGGUGAAAUGCUUAGAUAUGAUGUAGAACACCGAUUGCGAAGGCAGCUUACUAAGCAAAUAUUGACGCUGAGGCACGAAAGCGUGGGGAUCAAACAGGAUUAGAUACCCUGGUAGUCCACGCCCUAAACGAUGAUUACUCGACGUGCGCGAUAUACAGUGCGCGUCUGAGCGAAGGCAUUAAGUAAUCCACCUGGGAAGUACGUCCGCAAGGAUG
rnacentral:rRNA from 1 species